rnacentral:rRNA from 1 species
AUGAACGCUGGCGGCGUGCCUAAUACAUGCAAGUCGAGCGAACAGACGAGGAGCUUGCUCCUCUGACGUUAGCGGCGGACGGGUGAGUAACACGUGGAUAACCUACCUAUAAGACUGGGAUAACUUCGGGAAACCGGAGCUAAUUCCGGAUAAUAUAUUGAACCGCAUGGUUCAAUAGUGAAAGACGGUUUUGCUGUCACUUAUAGAUGGAUCCGCGCCGCAUUAGCUAGUUGGUAAGGUAACGGCUUACCAAGGCAACGAUGCGUAGCCGACCUGAGAGGGUGAUCGGCCACACUGGAACUGAGACACGGUCCAGACUCCUACGGGAGGCAGCAGUAGGGAAUCUUCCGCAAUGGGCGAAAGCUUGACGGAGCAACGCCGCGUGAGUGAUGAAGGUCUUCGGAUCGUAAAACUCUGUUAUUAGGGAAGAACAAAUGUGUAAGUAACUAUGCACGUCUUGACGGUACCUAAUCAGAAAGCCACGGCUAACUACGUG